UUCUAAGUUUCGAUAUACAUUGCUUUAUGGAUGUACGUGAUUACAGGCGCAAAUAUCACGUUCGGGUAGCUGCUGGAGACUGUUAUCGAAUUUCUGAAGUUUUAUUUUUUCUGCUUAAAUAAAAUUGGAAUAACUCAGUGGCUAGUACGGAGCAUAUACUGUUUUGAAUCGGUUAUUUUAUAAUUAAAUUUUUGAAAAACAAACACUCUUCAUUAUACACCGACUCAUUUGUAUCGAUAUAAAUUAUUCGUUGACAAAACACGUUAUCGUUAUUAUUUAUAUACACGCUGUAAAUCUACUAAUGUAUUAAUUUAGUUUUCUUCCGUUUUAGUACAACUCAGUCAAAUAGUACAUACAACUCUGUAUAUCAAGAUCGUAAAAUAUGAAUUUUCAUUUACUACACAAAUUCAUAUAUGCAAACAAAAAUAUACACGAUCUCUAAAUCUUAGACUCUCUGGAUCAUAUAUAUGCGAUAUUUUUUUUGGAUAUGGAAACGAAUAAAAUCAGACUGAUUUUGAUUUCUUAUCAUAUAUGAACAGGGAAUCGUUAUUUUCCAUUUAUUAGCUACUGUGGGUGUGUUGUGUUUUUGGUGGAUUAUGGUAGAGUCUAAAGGAGGCCAUAAGUAUAUUUUCUAAUCUAUAAUUGAAAAGAAAAUCAUGUACUUAAUUUAUUUCUUGUAUUUUAAAUAAUCUGGAUCGAUUGGUUGUGAAUCUUGUGAUCUAUCAAGUGUUUUUAGUUUUGUUUUUAUUUAUAAUCAUAAAAAUUGUCAUUUAGUUUUAUUUAGAUUCUGAAUCGGAUUAUAUCUUUGUUUAUUUUCCUAUAGAAUUAUGUUGUAUAUUUUUAAUAGUUGCAUAAAUUUAUGCUAUAGAAUUUUAGUUGUAGUUUUGUGGAUUUAAUUAUUUAUUUGUAAAUUUUUUAAGCUAAUAUAUAAAUCAUCUAUGUUUUCUACUUUCUAGACCCUAAAUAAAACAAAGGAGAUAAAAGUUUGUGGCUUUAACAAAUUUUUCUAAAGCAUUAUUGGAAGAAAUUUAAGAUUUCAAAAGAACUCUUGGUGCAGAAAUCUUCUACAACAUUUUAAAAGGAUGUAGGAGCAAUGUUUUCUAAAGCAAAAAAAUGUUAAUGUAGGAAUAUAUUUUUUUUGUCUUCAUUUAAUUUUUAUAUCUACGUUAAAUACAAUUUUAUUAAAAAUUAUACAUGCUAAAAUCUACUGUAAAAUUUAUACUGUUAUAUUUUUAAUUAUUUAUAUUUUGCAUUUGAAAAUGUAAUAUUUUAGUUGAUAUAUUUUAGCUCAAAACAAAAAAACAUAAACUAAAACUUUAAAAUAUAAAUGGUAGAACUUUAUUUAAAAGAAAAUAAAACUAAAAGCAAAAUAGAAAUAGAAAUAAAAAUAAUUAUUUAUCUUUUAUUAAUAUGUAUGAAAAUUUAAAAUAUUGAUUUUUAAACUACAUAGGGAGUAUUUGAAUAGUUACAAUUGUGUACUAUAUCGAACAAAAUAAAAAAUCAUCGAUGCACAAAAAAGAACAAAAUAAAAUAUAUAGUACUUUACCAAUUUGGGCUUAUCUGGAUGUCAAUUAGUUGAGUUCAUGUCGUCUUGAUGAAGCUUUUUUUUUUCUUUUAAAUUAACAACUUUAGAGUUGCAACUUUAACAACAGCUAAAAACGUUAAGGUUGCAAGACUGAUCAUUGAUGCAUACACGUCCCAGUAAACAACAAAUUUGGAUUUUAAGUGUUGGUAUGAAUAUCAUGAUUUACCGAGACCUAUUUUCACAACCUAUAAUGAUAUGUCGCUCUCAAUACACGUUUUCAAGCAUAAUUAUUUCUAUAAAUUAUGAUGAUGGAUAUCAUUAUUAACCUUGGGGCCGAAUGUCCUAUUGUCCAUACCUUUUAGUAACCAUAAAAGGAAAUAAAACCAAAUCUCAAUUAAUAUAAAGUGUACGUUGAAUCAAAAUAUAGACUCUAAAACUUCGUAAGUUCCACAUGUUAAAGAUUCGUCAUGUAGACAUUAGCAUGUGGUCGAACUUGUGAUUUCUAUAAAAACUCUCAACUAUUUUUAAUUGUUGCGAAUGUUUAACAUUUACACCAAAAAAAAAAAAAAAAGUGUUCAGCACACUAUUUUUACAGUUGUGAAAAAACCAACAACAAUAAACUCAUUUCUUUACAUUUUUACCAAAAAAAAAAAAAACAAUAAACUCAUUCACUUUUGAAAUAUCCAUUCCUAGAUCCUAGAUUCUGGAUCUUGAAAAAGUAAACUUCGAAGUUCGAACACAUGAAAAAUGGAGAUUAGAGUCUCGCCGGACUCCGGAAGCGUAAGAGGACAACGAUAUAAAAGUUAAAAUAAAAAUGAGUACUGUACAACAUUGUGAGUACCCUACACGAACAUCUUGCACUUACUUUAAUCAUAGCAUCUACAAAUAUCUUUGAAUAUAAGAUUUGUACACAUACACAGUGCCGGUCCUAGGAUUAUAUAGGCCGGAAGCAAAUUAAUUUUUUGGGCCUGUAAAUUGGCUCAUUUAAAAGAAAUAAGGAGAUAAAAAUAAUUAAGUGUUGAGGAAGAAUCGAAGACAUAACCUUUCCCGUGUGUGGCAGCAACUUUGACCAACUAACCUAGUGGACAAUCCUAGAAAAUGUGGCUGAAUAUUUAUUAAUUAUUGGGCGGCCGGAAGCGUAUGCUUCCUUGGCUUACCUUCAAGGCCGGCUCUGCACAUACAUAAUAAGUAGUUUAUGCAUCAAAAUCAUAGCAGCAAGCUUAUUAAAUGGUUAAUUACAAAAUCCAUUUGGUGGUGGGUAAGUGAGAAAGAUUAAGGUAGUUAAGCUUUGUUAAUAACGAUCAACAAAGCAUUUUAUAUGAGAUAUGAUUAGUAAACUAAUUAAAUAUCAAGUGGUUUCCGUCACUUGAUUAAAACCAAUGGUCGAUUCCUUUGUGAUGCAUUAAUAAAAUAAUGGUGAACAAAACUGAUCCAGAAGAUGUUUACAUUCAAACAGACAAUUAAUUAAAGGAGAUCUGAUCUGAAAACCAUGUAAUUAAAAGUUUUGAGCAUAUUGGAAGUUCAGAACAGUCAAAAUGUAAUUUACAUAGUAAUAUUUUUGUUUCUAAAAGAGUAUCAUUUUCACAUAUUUUUUGUUACACAAAAAUUGUUAUUUUAGAAUUUUUAUGCAAUUUUCAAUUUAAUGUUAAUUAUAAAUACAUUGAUUUAAGAAAUAAUUUUAUUUAUCUUAAAUAUUAUUGUACGAAUAGAUGUAAUUAAUAAAAACCUAAAUGUAUUUAAAUCAUUUUUUUAAUAUGUAUAAAAAAAUUAAAAUAACAAAUUUUUGAAACGGAAAUAUAUAUAUUUUUAUAUUAAAUAUCAUUUUAAAAUUUAAAUUUUACUUUAUUAUAAAUCUCGUUAUAUAUUUCCAGUGCAUAUAUUUGAUAAAUUUCAAUUUUAUUCUUAUUAUUUUAAUUUAUUAAUUAGCAAAAGUAAAAGUAAAACAAAAAAAAUAAUAUUUUUUUAAUAUGCGUGAAAAUCUUUCACACUUUUUCUAAAACAAAAGGACUAUAUAGUUUGGUAAUAAUUUGGUAAUGUGCAUUACGUUUCUCAAGACCACUUAAUCGGUUAAAAGAAAAAAAAAAGUAAGUUCAGUUUUUGAGACAGGCUGGUAUUUAUUUCCGACUUGAUUUUGUUGUUGUUUUUAUAAAAAAAAAUUGAUUUUGUCAAGAACAAUCAAAACUGAAAAGAAGUCAUGAUUUUGUCAGAACGUAUUGUUUUUGAAAACUAACUGGAUACAUAGUAGUUGAGUGAAGUUUCUCAAAAUCGUGAUAUAAAUUAAAUCUAUUAUAUCAGAAUUUCUGACAUCUUAUAAUACUCAUUCUAAAUUUAAAAAAACGAUUGUGACAAGUGUGCAGAGAUAUAAAAUUGUAAAUGAUGCGAAUGAAUAACCAGCAUGUAUAUAUAAAUAUCAGUAAUAUAAAACGUCCGAGAAAAGACGUGUGGAGUGUGAACUUAGAAUUAGUCUUAGAUGGACAUUUGAACCAAGUGACUUUAAUGCUUUUGUUGAUGAAAUUGAUUACGCAGAAUAUGAGAGGAAUAUAGACAUGAGUUUUGUAAAUUGACAAAGUAAUAUCAAUUUACUAGGUACAUAAACUAUUAUCCUGACCACUGAAAAGUGUGGUAUUUAAGAUUACUGAACAGUAAUGUGAAAACGAAGAACGUAAUAACAUUCCUUUCCAACAUGGAAAAAGACAGUGCUUUGUGGUGGUACCAAGUGUUUUUCUUUAUAAGCGUAAAUUAAAUAAGUUUUUUUUUUUUAUCUCAACAGGUUAAUCUCACUGUAGAUAAAUAUCUGGUUGUCAAAAAAUGCUUUAGACCAUAUUUCUGGUAUUAUAGGAUGCACGUUUUUUUUUUCUAAAAAUAAUGCAAGUUCCAGGCCAGAAAGAAGAAUCAAUACUAUUAAAACAGAAGGCCCUUUUUUGAGGUAACCUUCUGUUUCAACAAUAUUUACAGAACUAUACCACUGCUUUAUUUAAAACCUAUACUUUUAAUUAUAUAGAAAUAUUCAACUAAAUAUCUUUUAAUCUAAAAAUUAUACCGGAGGAUGCCUUAUAUAUAUAUUAAUAUUAUAUCAGAAUUUGCAGGUGUACUAACAAGUGCAUCUUUUUUUUAUUUAGUUUCUUUUCUUUUACUUUCAACGUAGUGAAUAUAGUUGGAGGAAUUAGAUUUCUUUCCAGUUUUUAGAUUCGAUGAAGGAGCUUUGUUGAUUCCCAAAACUUUAAAAAAAUUCUCAUGAGUUCUUCCAUUCUUUUUUUUCGUCCAUUGUUCUACCAAUUAGUUAAAAAAGAGUCUCUUUGCUCUCUUAGCAACAAGAUUGAGAAAUAGGGAAACUUUGCUCUUCACCUUCUUCUCUUUUCUCUCUGUGACUUCUUUUUGCUGAUUCAUCUUUCUUUUUCUCACUGAUUAAGCUCUCAAGUCUCAGGUCUGUGUAUGCUCUUUCUUCUAGACACAUUUUUUGGGUUUCCACCUGAUUUACAUUGCUAGGAAAACAAAUGCAGACAUAUAAAAGUUUAAGAGCAAUUCUAUCUGAGUCAAUCACCGGCAGACGAACUCGUGUUGCCUAGCAUAUCAAAAGCUAUUCGAUCUAUUCUAUGUUCCAAUCAGCGUUGUUAUUCAGUUGUUAUUUCCUUGUGUGGUUUACGGUGUUCUUUCACUGUUAAGGUUUGUCUUGAUUUAUGUCCUGUCAUAGAAAGUUUUUUGUUGUGAAUUUCGUGUAAGGAGCUUUUGAAAGAAACAAUGCCCAAACAUAAGGCUGUAUUGAUCUGGUAUUUUAUUUCCUCAGAGGAGUGUUCGUCUCUGAUUGAUGGAGUUGAUGUGUUUGUAAAUUUUAAGGUGAGAAGUUAGUGCUGGAAAGAAACAUCACUUCCUCUGCAUUGUUUCCUUCUCAAAACAGUUAAGUGUUUCAGGUAAUGCACCAACAAAAGGAAAAUUAGCUCCAGUGAUUCUGCCGAGAUUUAUGUCAAUACUUAAACAUAUUUUGUAUAUAUAUGUCGAAUAAUCCUCAUCAUUAAUAUUUUUAAAUCGAUGAUUCUGUACAGCUAUUGUAAUAUUUAUUGUUAAAAAAAUAUAUUGAGAUCUUAAGAGAUUUAGAGUUUGUGAUCAACACAAAAAUUUAAAACGUUACAUAACUAACAAAUAUAAUAUCACUAUCAACUACCACUAUAUAGUAUAUUCUAAACAUGUACAAAUAAGAGUGUUUCUAAUACAUAGAUAAGUGUACUACGCAUAUAAUUUUCCUAACUAAGAGGAAUGUAUUGAAUUAAAGGUUUUAGAAGAUUUUAGAGUAUUUUAAUUUUGGUUGGAUUUAGGUGAAAUUUGAAAUUAUUUGAGUGAUUUUAGUAAAACUUAAAAAUAAAAAUGAAACCAAUAGGUGAUUUGGUAUGAUAUUUUCUAAAAAUUUCAAAGUUGUUUAAGUGAUUUGAAAUGAUAAUAUAUAUUUUUAAGCUUGGACAUUCGGGGUCCCAAUCGGAUUUCGGAUUUCGGCUUUGUCUAAUCGGGUUUUGGUUAUUUAGGUUUAUCAAAAUCAGUCAUAUUUGGGUUCUAUCGGGUUCAGGUCGAGAUUAGUAAAUCAUCAGAGAACCGGUAUAACCCGAUGUAAUUUUGGGUUCGGGUCCCAAUCGGUUCUUUAGUUUAAAAGUAUCUGAUUUAUACCUAAUUUGUAGUCAAAACAUAAGUAAAGUCAGUUCUUUGAUUUUAGAGUAUUUGAUUUGUACUUAUUUUAUGACCGAAACAUAAGUAAAAUCGAUUCAAAAAUAAAGAAAGAAACAUCAAACGUGACCACUUAAAAUCAAAUAAAAUGUAAACAUAGUAAUUAAUCGAAAGAUAACCAAAUAACUAAAAGAAUAAACGACAACAAAGUUCUCAUGAAACGAAAAACAUUAUUCAAUGAAAACAAAACCAAAAUAUAAAAAUUUCAAGCCUCAACCGCCACCUUCAACCAUCAAACUUCAUGCAAUAGAUAAUUAUCUUAGAAGUUAUUAAGAAUUGAAACUAAUUUGAAAAAUAAUCAAUAUAAUUUGAAAAACCAACAACUAAUUUGUUUGUUUUUUGAAGUAUAUACAAAAUUAAAAAUAAUAAAAACAUAUUAGGAAUUUUAAAAAUAAAUUAAUUCUCAAAUAUAAAUAUUAAAACUCAAAGGUUGAAAAAAAAAGGUUAAUCAUGAAUCAAAAUCAGUUUUAAAAGAUUAGCCCCCGUUGUAUAAUUGAAGUACUUGAAAUUUAACGGGUUUCUAACAUCAUUAUAUCGAACAAACUGAAAACCAAAAUAUUCAAUCACCCUAACCAAACUCAAUUUCAUAAAUAACUUAGCAGUUUCUAUAUCUUAAACCGAAAAAAUGAAAACAUUAAACCGAACUAAAAUAAAAAACCAGCAAAUAAUAAAAUGGACCAAACCAAACGGCCACGUUUAACAUAUUAGUUAAUAUAUAGACGGGUUAAUAAAUUUGUUACCAAAAAAUAAUCCCGCGCUUUCAAAGCGCGGGUCAAAAUCUAGUAUUGGCUUAAAACUCAAACUCCUUAUAGUUAACACUAAAAGAAAUGUUAGACCACUAUUCAAAUUACCUUUAUUUUUUGUUUGUAGUUUGUGAGAUACGUAUAUUUGUAAAUAAGAAGGAAUAAAUGGACAAAAUUAUGGUUAUAGCUGAUAAAAAUUAUAACUGAAAGAAAAAAAAUUUGGACAAAUAAAUGAAAGAAUUUUCAGUUGAAUAUCGAUGGAAAAGACAAGACCAUAUAAAAAUAUCAUUUUUAAAUUAACAACUAUUUUGUUAUCAAAUAGACGUGUCAUAUUCUAGCUGAGAAAUAGUAUUCAGUUCCAAGCAUUGGAUCAGAUAGGCUUUAAGGAUUAAAGAUGUUUAAGAAGGCCCAGGCUUGUAGCCUGACGAAGACAGUGGCUUGAUGAAGACAAAUUAACAUUGCUUUAACUAGUCCCGGGCAUUGAUCGGUUCGGUUUAUUCGGUUUUAGGGUUAUUCUGGUUAGGAUGUUUAGGAACCGUUUAGGAACUGAAAAUUUUUCUGAUCUGUUAGGAUAAUGUUGGUUUUGGAUCGGGUUUCUAUUUUUUUUAUAAAAUCCGAAAUAGAAUCGUAUUACAAAUAAUUCGGGUUUGGUUUGGGUUUAAAGCCCAAAAAGCCGAAAAAUCCUAAAAACCCGAGUUAAACCCGAAAAAACCCGAAAAAAUAUUCUGGUUAUUUAGAUAGUUCGGAUUUUAGAUACUUUUUAUUUAUAAAUUAUUUAUUAUAUAUAUUAAAACUAAAAAUAAUUAAUAUUUUUAAUAUAUUCAAAAUAUUCGGGUACCCGUUCGAUUUUCGGUUCGGUCCCGGUUCGGUUUGGAUUUUUAGGAUUUAGAAAUAUAGGAACCAUUUGGGUUAGGUCUGGGCAUUUUACCCGGACCCGAAGACCCGACCCGAAACCGAUCCGAAAAAACCCGGUUCGGGUAGGAACCGACCCGAUCAAAUUACCCUAUCGGGUCUUGUUGUAGAGGACCCGCGGGUCUUGGACCCGACCCGACCCGAACCCGAAACCCGAUGGGUACCCGAAUUAAUAAUGUAAAUUAAAUAAAAUGCAUCAAGGGGGAAUCGAAGACGGGUUAUUUGUCUAGAGAAUAUGGGGGUCAACCACUAGGAGACAACGAAUUGUUGUUGUAUUUUGCAUAGUUUAGUAUAUAUA